CCCUUAGAUGUUCUGGGCCGCACGCGCGCUACACUGAUGCAUUCAACGAGUCUAAAACCUGCUCUGAUAGGGGUGGGUAAUCUUUUGAAUGUGCAUCGUGAUUGGGAUAGAUGAUUGCAAUUUUUCAUCUUCAACGAGGAAUGCCUAGUAAACGCAAGUCAUCAGCUUGCAUUGAUUACGUCCCUGCCCUUUGUACACACCGCCCGUCGCUCCUACCGAUUGAAUGAUCCGAUGAAUAUCAUGGAUUGAGGAUGCAAGUAGGUUAGCCUAUCUUCAUCUUCGAGAAGUGAAGUAAAUCUUAUCAUUUAGAGGAAGGAGAAGUCGUAACG
rnacentral:rRNA from 1 species